AAAGUAGGCCGCCUUAUCGCUUUUUAAUAAUGAACGUGUUUUGAUAUUGAAGAGAGGAAAGUCCGAACACCGUAGUGCAAUAUAGUGGUUAAUGGCCACCAGUUGUAAAACUAGGAAAAGUGCAACAGAAAGUAUGUACAGGUAAUGCUGUAGUGAAAUCAGGUAAACUCUAUAUGGUGCAAUGCCAUGUAUACCAACGUUUAAGGGUUGCACGCCCAAUGUUGGAGGGUAGGCAGCUAAAGUACACUGGUAACAGUGUAUUAAGAUAAAUGAUAAGGGUGUUUUUUGUUGUGAAUGGUUUCAUUCUCAACUUUAAGCAUACAGAAUUCGGCUUAUAGGCUUACUUUAAAA
rnacentral:RNase_P_RNA from 1 species